UUGGGAUAUUGCGCAAUGGACGAAAGCCUGACGCAGCGACGCCGCGUGAGGGAAGAAGGCCUUCGGGUCGUAAACCUCUGUCAUUUGGGAAGAAACCAUGGGACAGGAACAGGCUCUCGUGCUGACGGUACCUAAGGAGGAAGCACCGGCUAACUAUGUGCCAGCAGCCGCGGUAAUACGGAGGGUGCAAGCGUUAAUCGGAAUCACUGGGCGUAAAGCGCACGUAGGCGGAAUGUUAAGUCGGAUGUGAAAGCCCUCGGCUCAACCGGGGAACUGCAUUCGAUACUGCGAUGCUUGAGUGUCGGAGAGGGUGGCGGAAUUCCCAGUGUAGGAGUGAAAUCCGUAGAUAUUUGGAGGAACACCAGUGGCGAAGGCGGCCACCUGGCCGACAACUGACGCUGAGGUACCAAAGCGUGGGGAUCAAACAGGAUUAGAUACCCUGGUAGUCCACGCUGUAAACGAUGGAUGCUAGGUGUCGGGGGUUUACCCUCAUUGCCGCAGUUAACGCGUUAAGUUUCCCGCCUGGGUGAGUACGGUCGCAAGGCUGAAA
rnacentral:rRNA from 1 species